rnacentral:rRNA from 1 species
UAUUGGUCAAUGGACGUGAGUCUGAACCAGCCAAGUAGCUUGAAGGAUGACUGCCCUAUGCGUUGUAAACUUCUUUUAUAUUGGAAGACAGUCUUCCACGUGUGGACUUUUGUAUGUACCAUAUGAAUAAGGAUCGGCUAACUCCGUGCCAGCAGCCGCGGUAAUACGGAGGAUCCGAGCGUUAUCCGGAUUUAUUGGGUUUAAAGGGAGCGUAGGUGGACAGUUAAGUCAGUUGUGAAAGUUUGCGGCUCAACCGUAAAAUUGCAGUUGAUACUGGCUGUCUUGAGUACAGUAGAGGUGGGCGGAAUUCGUGGUGUAGCGGUGAAAUGCUUAGAUAUCACGAAGAACUCCGAUUGCGAAGGCAGCUCACUGGACUGCAACUGACACUGAUGCUCGAAAGUGUGGGUAUCAAA